rnacentral:rRNA from 1 species
ACUCAAAUGAAUUGACGGGGACUCGCACAAGCGGUGGAUCAUGUGGCUUAAUUCGUCGAUAAGCGAAGAACCUUACCGAGGCUAGAAAUCCAACUGCAUCCGACCUGAAAGGGACGGAGCCUUCGAGGGUGUUGGACAGGUGAUGCAUGGUUGUCGUCAGUUCGUGGCUUGAGCUGUUCCCUUCAGUGGGGUAACGAACGCAACCCACGUUGUCUGUUAUAUAUGUCAGGCGAGACUGCCCCCUCACGGGGGAGGAAGGUGUGGAUGACGCCAAAUCAGCAUGUCCCUUGAUGCCUCGGGCUGCACACGUGAUACAAUGGCCGGUACAGAAGGAUGCAAUACCGCAAGGUGGAGCAAAUCCCAAAAACCGGCCCCAGUACGGAUUGAGGUCUGCAACCGACCUCAUGAAGCCGGAAUCGCUAGUAAUCGUAGGUCAGCCAUACUACGGUGAAUACGUUCUCGAGUCUUGUACACACCGCCCGU